AAUUUAUUUAUUUUAGCCGUUGUAGCUCAGUCGGUAGAGCAGCACCAUGGUAAGGUGAAGGUCGACAGUUCGA
rnacentral:tRNA from 1 species